rnacentral:rRNA from 1 species
UACGAAGGGGGCUAGCGUUGCUCGGAAUCACUGGGCGUAAAGCGCACGUAGGCGGCUUUUUAAGUCAGAGGUGAAAUCCUGGAGCUCAACUCCAGAACUGCCUUUGAUACUGAGGAUCUUGAGUCCGGGAGAGGUGAGUGGAACUCCGAGUGUAGAGGUGAAAUUCGUAGAUAUUCGGAAGAACACCAGUGGCGAAGGCGGCUCACUGGCCCGGUACUGACGCUGAGGUGCGAAAGCGUGGGGAGCAAACAGG